CCUACGGGGGGCAGCAGUGAGGAAUAUUGGUCAAUGGGCGGGAGCCUGAACCAGCCAAGUCGCGUGAGGGAAGACGGUCCUAUGGAUUGUAAACCUCUUUAGGCGGGGAGCAAUGCCGGGCACGCGUGCCCGGAGGGAGAGUACCCGCAGAAUAAGCAUCGGCUACCUCCGUGCCAGCAGCCGCGGUAAUACGGAGGAUGCGACCGUUAUCCGGAUUAAUUGGUUUUAAAGGGUGCGAAGGCGGAUUUUUAAGUCAGCGGUAAACUUUCCGGGCUCAACCCGGGCCGGCCGUUGAUACUGGGGAUCUUGAGUGGGCGAGAAGUAUGCGGAAUGCGGGGUGUAGCGGUGAAAUGCAUAGAUAUCACGCAGAACUCCGAUUGCGAAGGCAGCAUACCGGCGCCCGACUGACGCUGAGGCACGAAAGCGUGGGGAUCGAACAGGAUUAGAUACCCCAGUAGUC
rnacentral:rRNA from 1 species